rnacentral:rRNA from 1 species
CAAGUCGAACGAACCUUUCGGGGUUAGUGGCGGACGGGUGAGUAACGCGUGAGAAUCUGCCCUCAGGAGGGGGAUAACGACUGGAAACGGUCGCUAAUACCCCAUAUGCCGAGAGGUGAAAUGAAUUUCGCCUGAGGAUGAGCUCGCGUCUGAUUAGCUAGUUGGUGGGGUAAAGGCCUACCAAGGCGACGAUCAGUAGCUGGUCUGAGAGGAUGAUCAGCCACACUGGGACUGAGACACGGCCCAGACUCCUACGGGAGGCAGCAGUGGGGAAUUUUCCGCAAUGGGCGAAAGCCUGACGGAGCAACGCCGCGUGAGGGAUGAAGGCCUCUGGGCUGUAAACCUCUUUUCUCAAGGAAGAAGAUCUGACGGUACUUGAGGAAUAAGCCACGGCUAAUUCCGUGCCAGCAGCCGCGGUAAUACGGGAGUGGCAAGCGUUAUCCGGAAUUAUUGGGCGUAAAGCGUCCGCAGGCGGCCUUGUAAGUCUGUCGUUAAAGCGUGGAGCUUAACUCCAUUUCAGCGGUGGAAACUACAAGGCUUGAGUGUGGUAGGGGCAGAGGGAAUACCCGGUGUAGCGGUGAAAUGCGUAGAUAUCGGGAAGAACACCAGUGGCGAAGGCGCUCUGCUGGGCCAUAACUGACGCUCAUGGACGAAAGCCAGGGGAGCGAAAGGGAUUAGAUACCCCUGUAGUCCUGGCCGUAAACGAUGAACACUAGGCGUCGGGGGAAUCGACCCCCUCGGUGUCGUAGCCAACGCGUUAAGUGUUCCGCCUGGGGAGUACGCACGCAAGUGUGAAACUCAAAGGAAUUGACGG